UACGAAGGGUGCAAGCGUUAAUCGGAAUUACUGGGCGUAAAGCGCGCGCAGGAGGUUCAGUAAGUUGGAAGUGAAAUCCCCGGGCUCAACCUGGGAACUGCUUUCAAAACUGCUGAGCUAGAGUACGGUAGAGGGUGGUGGAAUUUCCUGUGUAGCGGUGAAAUGCGUAGAUAUAGGAAGGAACACCAGUGGCGAAGGCGACCACCUGGACUGAUACUGACACUGAGGUGCGAAAGCGUGGGGAGCAAACAGG
rnacentral:rRNA from 1 species